GGAGUUACGGAUUCGACAGGGAUGGCUCAAGCUUGAGCUGCGCGUAGUAGGUCUCGGUCAUCAACGGAGUUAUAUAAAACUAUCAAACAAAAAAAUUUAUAUUUCGCAGCUUAGACUCGUAGCGCUCUGCCUCUCUAUCGACCAUGUAGAGAACGUGGGGCUUAAACUUAGUAUUAUUCGUUCGGUGGUGCCGCUUGAGUCAUCGUCAAGAGUUUUCCAAGUUAGUGCUCAAGAUGCCCGUUUGUCGGCAAAAGUGAGCAUGAAAUGGAAAUAGUCAAAAUACAAGCGUAGAAGUUUAAGUAAGUAUGGAGUUUAAGGACGCGGGUUUGACUCCCGCUGUCUCCAUAA
rnacentral:tmRNA from 1 species